rnacentral:rRNA from 1 species
UCCCGUUCGGUUUUCGUAGGUGACCUGCGGCAGGAUCAUUA